rnacentral:rRNA from 1 species
GAUGAACGCUGGCGGCGUGCCUAAUACAUGCCAGUCGAGCGAACGGACGAGAAGCUUGCUUCUCUGAUGUUAGCGGCGGUCGGGUGAGUAACACGUGGAUAACCUACCUAUAAGACUGGGAUAACUUCGGGAAACCGGAGCUAAUACCGGAUAAUAUUUUGAACCGCAUGGUUCAAAAGUGAAAGACGGUCUUGCUGUCACUUAUAGAUGGAUCCGCGCUGCAUUAGCUAGUUGGUAAGGUAACGGCUUACCAAGGCAACGAUGCAUAGCCGACCUGAGAGGGUGAUCGGCCACACUGGAACUGAGACACGGUCCAGACUCCUACGGGAGGCAGCAGUAGGGAAUCUUCCGCAAUGGGCGAAAGCCUGACGGAGCAACGCCGCGUGAGUGAUGAAGGUCUUCGGAUCGUAAAACUCUGUUAUUAGGGAAGAACAUAUGUGUAAGUAACUGUGCACAUCUUGACGGUACCUAAUCAGAAAGCCACGGCUAACUACGUG